GGAUGCGAUCAUACCAGCACUAAAGCACCGGAUCCCAUCAGAACUCCAAAGUUAAGAGUGCUUGGGCGAGAGCAGUACUAGGAUGGGUGACCUCCUGGGAAAUCCCCAUGUUGCAUUCC
rnacentral:rRNA from 2 species